rnacentral:tRNA from 1 species
AGCUAAUGAGCUUGAAUAAGCAUGUAUUUUGAAAAUACAUGAAAGACAUAGAAUUUUCUAUUAGCUU